UGGAAGGCCCAGCUUUGCAGUGUGGACUGCACCCUGCAGACCUGGCCUUAGCAAA
rnacentral:pre_miRNA from 1 species